rnacentral:rRNA from 1 species
GAGUCAAGUCAGCAUGACCUUUAUAUCCAGGGCUACACACACGCUACAAUGGUCUGUACAAUGGGUAGCCAAGCCGCGAGGCGGAGCCAAUCCUGAAACGCAGGCCUCAGUUCAGAUUGCAGUCUGCAACUCGACUGCAUGAAGCCGGAGUUGCUAGUAACCGCAGGUCAGCAAUACUGCGGUGAAUACGUUCCCGGGUCUU